rnacentral:rRNA from 1 species
AUGGCGAAAAGGAGCCUUGGAAUGGUCUUAACAAAACAUUUAGAAACAAAAGAAGGAAAAGAUUCUAUUGAGACAACUCUGAAUUUGAUUGAGUUUCCCUUACUUGACCAAAGAAGUUCCAAUUCUGUUAUUUCAACUACACCAAAUGAUCUUUCGAAUUGGUCAAGACUCUCUAGUUUAUGGCCCCUUCUAUACGGUACUAGUUGUUGUUUCAUUGAAUUUGCUUCAUUAAUAGGCUCACGAUUCGACUUUGAUUGUUAUGGAUUGGUACCAAGAUCAAGUCUUAGGCAAGUAGGACUAAUUUUAACAGUCGGUACGCAAAUGCCAGAACCAAAAUAUGUCAUUGCUAUGGGAGCAUGUACUAUUACAAGGGGAAUGUUUAGUACGGAUUCCUAUAGUACUGUCCGGGGAGUUGAUAAGUUAAUUCCUAUGCAUGUCUACUUGCCGGGCUGCACACCUAAACUGGAGGCAGUUAUAGAUGCCCUAACAAAACUUCGUAAGAAGAUAUCGCAAGAAAUAGUUGAGGAUCAAACUCUAUCUCAAAAUAAAAAUUAA